ensembl:lncRNA
GGGCAAAGUUUCAGUGCAUUCCGUUGAUGUAGACGGCGUGAAAACGGAAACAACAAGUAUGCCGGCUCACUGUGCUGCAUACAGUUACACACUACGUCGUACGAUUGAGACAAGGAAACUUGGAAUGACUUUUCAUAGGUUUCCCAGAGACUAUGGGUUGAGGAGGAAUUGGAAGUUUGUCGGCUUAGACCUGGUGUCAUUCCAUCAGUGUUAAACUUCCCGGCUCAUCUUGGAAGAGUACGUGCCAGAAAGACCACGACCAAGCAGCCUUGAGAUCUUAGGCAGCGUCUCCCUGAGGUCCCUCUCUAUCUCCACACAUCCACCAACCACUGGAACACAUCUCCAAAGUUCUGCUGGACCAGCUCAGCUUCCCCUCAGAAGAAGUGCUGCCACCUGCCAGAUGAAGGAGCCUUUUGAGAGGCAGCUGGCAUCGUGAUUGGACUGUACUUUGGUCUGUUCCAAUCCAGCUUCAGCUCCAGAGACGGCAGGCGGGACGAGUCAACGGAGGCCGGGUGGACGAAGGCAUGCAGCUGAGUACAAUCCAGAAAACAACAGUGGAGGAGCCCAGCCCAGAGCCAGAACACAGUAGCAUGACCAAAGAACUACAGACUCUUCACAACCUGCUCAAACUCUUGGUACAGGACCUCACCACACGGGUCAAGAAGGUUUCUGUCUCAUUUCUACUCUGAAGCUCACCUUCUCCUGCUCAAACUGCUGACAAAUGUUUCUGCUGCUCUAAAGUCUGGUCUCCAGAACUUCCUAAAAACUCUCAAAGUCUCUUCUGCUGCAGGUUGCUUUGUAGAACUGUUCCAGAAAACCUCACUAAACCACAUGGAGGGGCCUCAAGAUAGUCGUCCAAAUGAAACCUUACAAAAACCAAACUAGCACAAC